rnacentral:rRNA from 1 species
GUCUACGGCCAUGCCAUCCUGAACAAGCCCCAUCCCGACUGAUCUCGGAAGCUAAGCAGGGCUGGGCCUGGUUAGUAUUUGGAUGGGAGACCACGUAGGAAGACCAGGUGCUGUAGGCA